CAGAACUGCAUUAUCGACAAAAUCAGAGAUAUGGUCAGUUUUACUGGAUGUGUUCUGUUGGCAAUAGUUCGGAAUUGUCCUAAAACUUUUGCUUACCUUGAAAGAUGAUCAGAGACAUUCUGAGUCAGGAAUACUCCAAUCACCGAGUCAACAACCGAUCCUUUCCAUCGAGAAAAGCGUCUGUCACCUGCGAGAGGGACAUCUCAUGAUGAUUGUCGAGAAGAUUACAGCAGCAGCAUUGGCCUUUCUGCUCUGGUGCAACUAGAAGUGCCUAUUAACAUUUGCGCGAUGGAUCAAGAAUCUACAGGAACUAUGCAAAGCACUUAACCUUGAACGAGAUGCAUUCUGGCGAUGAAUGAAUUUGCUCGUCCAUGGAACACUUCCCUCUCUUCUUCCCACCAUUUUUCCUUGUCCUUGUGAUUUUCUUCAAGUCCACUUCCUUCCUUACCCAUUAGAAGAUUCCAUACCCUGUUAGUUUCUGGGUCAAGGUCUACUUUCGGCCGUGGUUUGCGUUUCCUGCCUUCAUAGGGAACAAUCAUGCCAGCUCCAGUAUAGGGCACAAUUGCAUUUUGCUCUGCUUCCUUCAGUUUGCUGCCUUCUCCAUUGAGAUUGAGCACCUCCAAUCUGUAUAUGAUCUCGUCAAGAACAUUGGGGUCUUUUUCCAUCGAUGAGCUGGAACCUGAAUAGCAUGAAGAGACUGAUAAUUGUGAUGGACUCUAGCAAAAUAUACUGGCUUUGCAAGCGCUUACAGUUUGGGAUCCGGGAAAUACCUCUUGUCAUUGCACCAGUCUGUUGAUUUUCAUGGCAUGGAUCCUUCUGCUCCUUUUGGAACUUCUCCGCGGAAGGACUCUGCUUGGUGGGAGCUGCAGUCUUCUUUGUUAAAUGAUUUGCCUGCUGCUUUUUUGGCCUUCCUUUCUUUACUGGUUGAACAGUAUGUUCUGGAGCUUUUUGGCUUUGAUGAUACUCCUGACAAGCUGUUUUUGGCAUGUCUUUCACUUGCAAUCUGCUGGUUUCCUCCUCCCUCUGUUUGUGAGAAUGCUGUUCAGCAGAAAUUUGAUGCUCUCUUGAAACAUUACCCAAAGCAAGAGACGGUAGAUUCCAUCCAAUGGUACGUUUCUGCAGCCCAUCUUUUUCAUUGUGGUAAAUGCUUCCAGAAGCAAUGCAGGGGUUCAACAUCUCAUUGUUCAUCUGUAACGGUCUUCUGCAUGUGGCUUGACCACAUACACCUCCUACAUGCACUUGGCUUGAAGAAUCUAAGAUCGCUGGAGCACAAGAUGAGAGACUGUUAAUAUCAAGUGUUUUCUCUGCUUUCUUCCUCUUCUGGGUCUCUGAGUAAGGCGAACUGAGAAUAUUACUGUUGCAGAAUUCCCCAGUCCGGACCAUUUGUUGCAGCCAUGUGGGCAUUGAAUUUGCACGAGGAAGAUAUGUCUGCUCGUUGUUUUGAUGAUAAACCCUCUUUAGUCCCCUUGCCUCACUGGAGUUGGCAAAAAUUAAUGGUGCUGAUUGAGGUACUGCUUGCCUAGACAGCUCAAGGUUGCGAAGUCCUGGAAUGUUCACUUCUCUUGGUUCUGCAAAUACAAAUUGCUGCUGCUUGAGAAGCUGUCCAUCUUUCGAACCCAUCUGGCAAGUAAUUGCAAUGGCCCUAUCCAUGUUUUCUCGAGUGGCUAUUCUAUGUUCCAGUUGGUCUGUUGUUCUGGCUGGCAGGCACUGACCGGCCUGCCUUUGUAGCAAUGGAAAAAAAGUAGCGCGCCUUUGAUUUGUUCCAAACAAACUCACAGCUUCCAGUUGAUUCAUCAUGGUUGAUCUGUCAUGGUGACCUAUCUGCUGAGCUGAUGUUAUUCCAGACAGAAUGUUUACUCUCCUGCUGAGUUCUGAGGCUUGUGAAUCUACAGGCAAGCGAAAACCCUCCAUAUUCCUCAACUCCUCUGGUCCAGCUACUGUGCUUGCCUCAGCUUUCUUUUCUAAGUCAAAAUUCAAAGCUCUCCUACAGGAUUUUACAGCAGUUCCGUCAUUGCCAACUGCAGUCUCCUGUGCAGCAUCUGCCUGUUGACUUGCUGAUUCUUUCAGGCCUUUCUUGCGUACGUACUUCCGCUUUCCAGAUGGAUUCUCAUUUCCCUUUUGUUUUACCUGAGCUUCAGGUUUUCUAGUGCUCUUUGGCUUACCUUCUACAAUCACCUUCGGUCUGUGCUUUUUUCGCUUGGGUGCUUUCUGCUGGGGUGUUGUAUUAAGGUCAAUGCCUUGGUUGCUUUCUACGAUGGCAUCCUUCUUCUGCUUGAAAGAUUCCACAAUAUUCUCCAAGAGUUCGUCUGAAUGGUUUGUUUCACUUGUCAAUGAGAACAGCUUUCCCUGCUUGUCCUUCUCUUGGAUUGUGCUUUCAUAUGGUGAGGAUUCAAGUAAUGCAGAAAACUGGCUGUCCUCAUAUGGUGUUGCUGGUGCAAACAAUAAGUUGGUCAUCCUUGGUGGGGAGCUGACUUCUGGUGGAGUGGAGUUUAGAUCAUAGGUCGGUCGCGAAGGCAAAGGGAAUUCAUCUGUAGAAAACAUAGUUCAAUCUUCACUGUUAGCGGAUGCACAGUAGAAUCUUUGACGGAAUGAUAUUCUUAAGCUCAUAAAAUACCAGGCACGAACAAAUAAGGCAGCAACCAAGCUUCGUCCUACUGAGUCAGCUAAACGAAUUUUUUAUGGUAUUGCACUGUCUGGAGCAACAUAGCAUACACAACUUCAAAAUUUUCAGUGUCACUGCAUUCUUGUUAGCGAAUUCUGAGGUAGAAUAGCAUAAAACAGAAAAAAAGACGGUUGUAUCUGUUGACACCAAAGGAUGCAUAGCCAGGAGAACCUCUACUGUGGGGAGGAUGCUACUCAGUCCAGAGGAUGCAAGUUUCCUCGGUUUCAGUUGAUUUAUGAAGUAACUAUCUCGAUGGAGUGACUUAUAUGUUUCUCUACAGAAGCAUAUCCUGAUGAAA